UUCGGUGGCCAUAGCGGCGGGGUCACACCCGUUCCCAUCCCGAACACGGCAGUUAAGCCCGCCAGCGCCAAUGGUACUUGGAGGUAGACCUCCUGGGAGAGUAGGACGCCGCCGAAU
rnacentral:rRNA from 1 species